AAAAAAAAAUUACAAACAACCACAGUCCUCUAUUGAGGAAUCCAUCGGGAAAAAAAAAAAAGAAACAGAAAAGGGCCCGUUGAGGAUGAAAGGGGCUUUCAGUCAUGGGAUUUUUUUUUUUUUGUUUUUAUGAGUGACUUGGGAGAGUAUUUUUAAGAUUUUGGGAAAGGAGAGAAAAGAGCUAUUUUUUUGGGCGGUGGGAACAAUGGCGCCGUAUGGAGGUCAGCGCGGGCGAGGAGACUUUUGGAUGAUCUGAACCGGAAGAAAGAAAGGAUGGAAGGGGAGAAACAACAUACUUUGGUUUCAGGACGACCGGACGGCGAGAAGAGUGUGAACGGCGGUUUAAAAUUUCGGGUUAAAGUUUCAGAUCUAAGCUAUUAUGAGGUGAUUUGCGAAAAACAGAGGCUGAAUCUAAGACAAGAAGGAAGAGAGGAGUCCACGGCUGAAAUUUUGGAGUCAACUGACGCCGAACGGCUGCGGUGAACGGCGGCCGGGUCGGCUACCGUCGUCGGGAUCUGGGUUAGGGGAGAGUGGCCGGGUGUGUCUUUUUGGAGAGAAAAUGUUGCAUUUGAUGCAAAAAACGGAAAACUCAGGUUUGAUGCUCCUGACCGGACCCUUCUUACAAUGUUUGAAUUUAGUCAAACGUGAUCAAUGAAUAUCGAAUUGUCUAAUGAUGUUGUAGAUAGGGUAUGUGCCCACUGACAUUCUUUAUUACCUUGUAUAUUUUAUCUAAUUACAGGUAUGCACAGUACAAGAGAAUAUUAGAGGAAAUUGACAAGUUGAAGGUGGUUUGGAGGCAUUUUCUCUUGGCUAUGAGAAGCUUGACUCACAUACAGG
rnacentral:lncRNA from 1 species